rnacentral:rRNA from 1 species
AUUGAACGCUGGCGGCAGGCUUAACACAUGCAAGUCGAGCGGAGUGAUGGUGCUUGCACUAUUACUUAGCGGCGGACGGGUGAGUAAUGCUUAGGAAUCUGCCAUUUAGUGGGGGACAACAUUCCGAAAGGAAUGCUAAUACCGCAUACGUCCUACGGGAGAAAGCAGGGGAUCUUCGGACCUUGCGCUAAAUGAUGAGCCUAAGUCGGAUUAGCUAGUUGGUGGGGUAAAGGCCUACCAAGGCGACGAUCUGUAGCGGGUCUGAGAGGAUGAUCCGCCACACUGGGACUGAGACACGGCCCAGACUCCUACGGGAGGCAGCAGUGGGGAAUAUUGGACAAUGGGCGGAAGCCUGAUCCAGCCAUGCCGCGUGUGUGAAGAAGGCCUUUUGGUUGUAAAGCACUUUCAGUAGGGAGGAAGGGUUAAGUGUUAAUAGUACUUAACUUUGACGUUACCUACAGAAGAAGCACCGGCUAACUCUGUGCCAGCCGCCGCAGUAAAAC